rnacentral:rRNA from 1 species
UACGUAGGCAGCAAGCGUUGUCCGGAUUUACUGGGCGUAAAGAGCGCGCAGGCGGUCGUUCAAGUCGCGUGUGAAAGCCCCCGGCUCAACUGGGGAGGGUCACGCGAUACUGAUCGACUCGAAGGCAGGAGAGGGAAGUGGAAUUCCCGGUGUAGUGGUGAAAUGCGUAGAUAUCGGGAGGAACACCAGUGGCGAAGGCGACUUCCUGGCCUGUUCUUGACGCUGAGGCGCGAAAGCUAGGGGAGCAAACGGG